GUGAGGAAUAUUGGUCAAUGGGCGAGAGCCUGAACCAGCCAAAUCGCGUGAAGGAUGAAGGUAUUAUGUAUUGUAAACUUCUUUUAUCGGGGAAUAAAGUGCGGGACGUGUCCCGUUUUGUAUGUACCCGAAGAAUAAGGAUCGGCUAACUCCGUGCCAGCAGCCGCGGUAAUACGGAGGAUCCGAGCGUUAUCCGGAUUUAUUGGGUUUAAAGGGUGCGCAGGCGGUGCUACAAGUCAGCUGUGAAAAUCCGGCGCCCAACGUCGGACGUGCAGUUGAAACUGUAGUGCUUGAGAGUGCGUGAGGCAGGCGGAAUUCAUGGUGUAGCGGUGAAAUGCAUAGAUAUCAUGAAGAACUCCGAUAGCGAAGGCAGCCUGCCCUUUCACAUCUGACGCUGAGGCACGAAAGUGCGGGUAUCAAACAGGAUUAGAUACCCGAGUAGUCC
rnacentral:rRNA from 1 species